rnacentral:rRNA from 1 species
AUUGAACGCUGGCGGCAUGCUUUACACAUGCAAGUCGAACGGCAGCGCGGGGUAACCUGGCGGCGAGUGGCGAACGGGUGAGUAAUAUAUCGGAACGUACCCAAGAGUGGGGGAUAACGUAGCGAAAGUUACGCUAAUACCGCAUACGAUCCAAGGAUGAAAGCAGGGGACCGCAAGGCCUUGUGCUCCUGGAGCGGCCGAUAUCUGAUUAGCUAGUUGGUAGGGUAAAGGCCUACCAAGGCAUCGAUCAGUAGCUGGUCU